rnacentral:misc_RNA from 1 species
UUAAUUUUGUUUAUGCUCAAUUAAGAGACUAUUACAUUCUUAUACUAAUGUGUUAAAAGUGUGUGUAAAAAAGAAGUGUGUGCACAGUGUAAGAAAAUGAAAGGGUCGGACUUCUAAAAAGAACGUCCUAAAAUUCAUUAAUGAUCCUUCCGCAGGUUCACCUACGGAAA